rnacentral:rRNA from 1 species
AUUGAACGCUGGCGGCGUGCCUAACACAUGCAAGUCGAGCGGUAACAGGUGUAGCAAUACAUGCUGACGAGCGGCGGACGGGUGAGUAACGCUUGGGAAUCUGCCUAUUAGUGGGGGACAACCCGGGGAAACUCGGGCUAAUACCGCAUACGCUCUACGGAGGAAAGCCGGGGACCGCAAGGCCUGGCGCUAAUAGAUGAGCCCAAGUCGGAUUAGCUAGUUGGUAGGUAAUGGCCUACCAAGGCGACGAUCCGUAACUGGUCUGAGAGGACGACCAGUCACACCGGAACUGAGACACGGUCCGGACUCCUACGGGAGGCAGCAGUGGGGAAUAUUGGACAAUGGGCGAAAGCCUGAUCCAGCGACGCCGCGUGGGUGAAGAAGGCCUGCGGGUU